CAUUAAGAAGCUAUGAACCAGCAUUAGCCUUUUAAGCUAAAGAAAGAGGGAUUUCCCCCCCCUCCUUAAUGA
rnacentral:tRNA from 1 species